UGUGUGUGUGUGUGUGUGUGUGUGUGCGUUGUGAGGGAUGGAGAGGUAGGGUUAGGUGAGGGGCUUCUGAGGCAGGUUCUUAGGUAUUGGGGAAUGGGCCAAGAGUGCUCCCCUUCCACAAGGCUCAAGGAAUCACAUGUGUUACCACUUUCUUCAUUAGCCUCUGAUUUAGAAAUGCCUCAUGCAAAAACAAAUGGACUUGCUUAUCUUCCCUUAAGGGAGCUCUGCUCCCUCCUGCUAUCACAAAAUAGCCGCAGGGCUCCAAGAUCCCUUUAAGCAUAAACAUAUUGUAUUCAUGCAGAUGUAUGAGGAAAAUGGGGACAAAUGGACAUGGAUAGUCUUUCCUAUAUUAGAAAUGAAACCUUCCUAAUAUAUCCAGAAAGCUUUUCCAGUUGUUCUCAAACAAAUAUGCAUAUCUUGGUAACUCCAGCUAUUUACUUAUUUACAAUAUCCCUUUGACAAAUUAACCCUCACUAAGAUUCUUAGUUAGAUCCAUUUACAGAAGUAAGCCAGCAGGGGGAACUCAUAACAGAUACUUUUACAGUUCAGUGCCAUGAAAAACAAUUUGCUGAUUUCCUCUAUUAUUGCAUAUUCGUCACACUGAAUGGUUUCAGAUCUUUAGACAAAAUGUAACAUCAGACAAAUGGAAACCGUAUAAACAGCACAUUUUCAAAAUGAUUAUUUCAUUAAUCUAAUAAAAACAGUACUCAAGCACCCAUAUCACCCACGUGAAAAAGUCAUUACCUCCUUAGGUACUCAAUCAAUCAAUUAGCCAAACUGAUAAUUAGAUUCAGCUGAUUGAACACUGCUAGGCUUGUUUGCAGCUAGCCCCAUUGAAUCUAAACCUCACUCAUAUUGAACCUUACCAUCACAGUGAAGUAGCCACCACAAAGUUUCUACAAGCUCACUAAGGGAUGAUCAAAGCAAAUUCCAGAAGAGAUUUGAAAAAAGAAGUUGUUGAAAUAUAUAAGGUUACAAAGCCAUUUCUAAGGCUCAGGGACUCCGCUGAACCACAGUGAAAGCCAUUAUCUCCAAAUGGAGAAACCUUGGAACAGCAGUGAAUCUUCCCGGGAGUGGUCAACCUGCCAAAGCUUCUCCAAGGGUGCAGCAACAACUCAUCCAUAGAGUCACAGAAGAUUCCAGAAGAACAUCCGAAGAACUGCAGGUCUCUAUGGCCUCAGCAAAGAUUGAACCGGAGCAAUUCCAAGGGGAGUUGGAAAAACUGCCAGGAAAUAUACAGACACAUGACAAGGUACUUCACUGAAAACGGCUGGCUAACGGACGAGAGAUGAUGCUGCAAAAAAGGGGCUGAGAAAAGGUAUCACAGUUCAGGUUUUGGCUCUCAGGGAUCUCUAAAUGCAUUUACAAGACACUUUUAUUGGCUACUUUUAACUGAUUUGGAUUUGGUUUGGUCAUGUGCCAUUUCAUCUCAGAGGUAACCAUGCUUGCAGAACUGUGAGCUGUGAGGACCUCACAGCAAUGAAAUGGUCACGCAUUUCACAAUCCCUGAGGGCAGGAGGAGCUGACGGAUGAAGUAUAAUUAUUAGAGUUAAGAAAUCCAUGUCGGAUGGACAUGUGUUUUUAAAUAUGAGAUGUCUGUUUACGGUAAAGGGCUGAAACAUCUUUAAACUAUCCUCUCAUCUGAAAUACACUCUUUCAUUACAGCCCCUUCAUUACAGUAAAUCCUCUGUCUCUAUCUUUAACCCCGACUUUAACCUGUAAAUAAAACCUUCACGUU